rnacentral:sRNA from 1 species
ACUGCACUAAUAUUAAAAAUUCUCACAGA